rnacentral:rRNA from 1 species
UACAGAGGGGGCAAGCGUUAUUCGGAAUUAUUGGGCGUAAAGGGCGCGUAGGCGGCCUGGCAAGUGGAAGGUGAAUCCCUCGGCUUAACCGAGGAACUGCCCUCCAAACUGCUUGGCUUGAGUCCGGAGAGGUGAGUGGAAUUCCCAGUGUAGCGGUGAAAUGCGUAGAUAUUGGGAGGAACACCAGUGGCGAAGGCGGCUCACUGGACCGGAACUGACGCUGAGGCGCGAAAGCGUGGGGAGCAAACGGG